AUCACACGGAUUGCUUCUUCCUCCAGCUCUAGAACUGAGAUGGCUCCUCGCCUCCCGAAAAACAAUGCGGCUGACUCUAACGAAAUUCACUAUCACCCACAGGCAGUAGCCAGACACACCUACUUUAUUUUCAAAAUUAAAUUGUUUGAUGACAGACAGAUAAGGAACAGAUGGCAGGGAAGGUGGAGAUAAUAAUAGGUUCAGAAAAUCUCCGUAAGGAAUGA
rnacentral:lncRNA from 1 species